GUGAGAUUAAGUAUAUAUCACUAGUUCUGUGCGAAUGUUACGAUAGUUCUUGUUAUUCGUGUAAUCGAGGAAUCCCCACUGGUUUCUACGAAUCGCUGACAAUCCUAGAUAAACCUGGUUUUUUUUAAUGCAUACAGACAGAUAAAACUACUGAGGAUAGAAAAGCAAAAUGUAAAGCCAAUGAAAAAAGAAAUGGAUAAGAAAGAAAAAAUAAAAAUGAGAUGAAAAUUAAAAAAAUAGAGUUGAAUAUCGAUUUGUGAGGAGUAUUUUAGAGAAUGGAAAAGAGAAUCUUGAGAUUCUUUCCAAUGAUCAUCCUGUCCUCGAAAGAAAUGACUUCCGGCCAUGGAUGAAGUAGACAGAUUUUACGAGAGUGAUUGAAAAACUUUUAAGCAAUGGAUAUUUUUACUGCGCUAUCAAAAGUUGUUACCAUUAGAAAAUGGCGUGGUGUGUAUUUCAAUUUUAAGGUUAUGUCCAGAGUCUUAGCUAAGAACCAGAGAUGCGUCAAAUACCGCCAUUCGACAAACUAUGAAUCACUAAUAGUAUAAAUUUAAAAAAAAAAUAAAAUAAGUUACCUGUGACUGAAUGCGGAAUAUUGAAAUCCAUGUAAAAAAAUCCGUGAAUCUAGUGCGUGUCAAUAGCGCAUUUAACUUGUCAAACAAACAUCACUUUCAAUGAACACUCAAAAAAAAUAAGAUCAACUCAUUUCCACAAAAAACACAAAAUAUAAAUAGAUAUUUUUUUUGUAUGAUAAUAAAUAGAUAUAUAAAUAUAUAUUGAAAAACACGACAAUUACACAAAAUAAAGGAUAUGACUAUUGGAAAGGGACGAGGAUAUGACACUUGUGAAAUUUAUCACAACUUGUAUUCUCACACGUGGAAAUCACCUGGGCACUGUUUUUAUAAGAUUAAAACGUCGGCUAUCCCUUGAAUUUCCGUCAUAACUUUAUAAAUUAAUCAGUUUACACACAAACUUCUCUGUACAUGUCUUAAAAAUAAAAACACCUAUAAUUACACGACUUUAAUCUCUCAAUCGUUUUCACAAUUAUACUCAGACUUUAAACUCACUUAUUCACUUAAUAAAAAAAAAAUUUCACUCUUCCAACGAUGCACAU